rnacentral:rRNA from 1 species
GACGAACGCUGGCGGCGUGCCUAAUACAUGCAAGUAGAACGCUGAAGGAGGAGCUUGCUUCUCCGGAUGAGUUGCGAACGGGUGAGUAACGCGUAGGUAACCUGCCUGGUAGCGGGGGAUAACUAUUGGAAACGAUAGCUAAUACCGCAUAAGAGUAGAUGUCGCAUGACAUUUGCUUAAAAGGUGCAACUGCACCACUACCAGAUGGACCUGCGUUGUAUUAGCUAGUUGGUGAGGUAACGGCUCACCAAGGCAACGAUACAUAGCCGACCUGAGAGGGUGAUCGGCCACACUGGGACUGAGACACGGCCCAGACUCCUACGGGAGGAAGCAGUAGGGAAUCUUCGGCAAUGGACGGAAGUCUGACCGAGCAACGCCGCGUGAGUGAAGAAGGUUUUCGGAUCGUAAAGCUCUGUUGUAAGAGAAGAACGAGUGUGAGAGUGGAAAGUUCACACUGUGACGGUAUCUUACCAGAAAGGGACGGCUAACUACGUG